AGGUAUUUGGCGUUGUGUCAAAGUUGGAAAGUCAAGAUGGUGGUGGACCAACUGAAUUGCCUGAUGAUAUUCAUUUACCAGUUACAAGCAUUGAAGAACUGGAGUUGGUUGAGACAGGUUUACAAGAACCUGGUUGUUUCAAUGGCUUGGUCACAUACCUGACACUGCAGUGCAAGGAGGUAUCACAAGAAGCGAUAUGUCAAAAAGAGUCAUGAAACACUGCAUGUCAAAUCAGUUGGCACUUCAGUUCAACUGGUUUGGCAAGAAAGGGAAGAGAGCGUUUGGGAAACUGAAGCUGGCCAAGGCAGUGCAAAAAGCAGUCAUGAAAUGUAAAAAAAAUGUACAGCAGCUGAAGUCGAAUUAGAUUGUAGAGAAUGGUUUCGCAGUGCAUGUGACAGAGAAAGAGACAGGCCGUAAAAGAAGACAAAAAACCAAUGAAGGUGUCCAAGAAACACCCACUGAAUAGAACUUUUUUAUAUAUUUAUAGCGAUAUUGAAAGAAAAAAGAUGGCUCUUUUAAAUUGGAAGUAAUGUAAAGGACUUGUAUCAUUCUAGCCUAAUAGUUCAAGAGCAUAUAGCCUAAGAAGAAUAAAUCAUACAUAAAUAGUGAUAUAGUUAAACUAAACAUUAUUGAGAUAUAUUUAAGAAACAAUAUCAGUUUCUGUGUUGUUCAUCGGCUAUUUAAAAUCAGUUUAAGCUUGUGUGUCAGGCAGGAUUAUAUAUAUUGUGUUUACAUCGUUGCUGGAUUAAUGAUUCUUCAGCCCCUGA